CACCAAGUUCUUGUCAGCCCCACCUUCUGGAUGCUUAUAUAAGCUCAAGUCCAAGGAUCAGCCGGGCCGUAACCAUCCAAGGGUUCGGCGCUACGCACCAGUAGUACCUCCCAUGUUUCCUUCACCAUCCCGAUGCCGAGCUUGCGGGAAUAUGGCGGGCCCAUGUACAUACCCCGCAUAUAACACCUCCUAUGGCUCUAUCUACCUUUCUAGUAGCUCCUUCACAGAGUUACAGACUGUACCUUGUGAACUUCGUCCAAUGAUUAACCAGAUGUGUCCGCAUGAAGGAUCUUUCACUAUGCAUGGCAAUGGCAAAUUGAUGAACACCUACACGGUCUAUGAGGUGUAUGUCUACAAGACGCAGGCCAUCACAUAUUUGU